rnacentral:rRNA from 1 species
AAGUUUGAUGGCGACCGGCGCACGGUGAGUAACACGUAUCCAACCUGCCGAUGACUCGGGGAUAGCCUUUCGAAAGAAAGAUUAAUACCCGAUGGCAUAGUUCUUCCGCAUGGUAGAACUAUUAAAGAAUUUCGGUCAUCGAUGGGGAUGCGUUCCAUUAGGUUGUUGGCGGGGUAACGGCCCACCAAGCCUUCGAUGGAUAGGGGUUCUGAGAGGAAGGUCCCCCACAUUGGAACUGAGACACGGUCCAAACUCCUACGGGAGGCAGCAUG